rnacentral:rRNA from 1 species
GCAAGUCGAGCGGUAACAGAGAGAAGCUUGCUUCUUUGCUGACAAGCGGCGGACGGGUGAGUAACGCGUAGGAAUCUACCUAAUAGUGGGGGAUAGCCCAGGGAAACUUGGAUUAAUACCGCAUACGCCCUACGGGGGAAAGCGGGGGAUCUUCGGACCGGUCGCUAUUGGAUGAGCCUGCGUAAGAUUAGCUUGUUGGUGAGGUAAGAGCUCACCAAGGCGACGAUCUUUAGCUGUUCUGAGAGGAUGAUC